GACGAACGCUGGCGGCGUGCUUAACACAUGCAAGUCGAACGGAAAGGCCCUGCUUUUGUGGGGUGCUCGAGUGGCGAACGGGUGAGUAACACGUGAGUAACCUGCCCUUGACUUUGGGAUAACUUCAGGAAACUGGGGCUAAUACCGGAUAGGAGCUCCUGCUGCAUGGUGGGGGUUGGAAAGUUUCGGCGGUUGGGGAUGGACUCGCGGCUUAUCAGCUUGUUGGUGGGGUAGUGGCUUACAAAGGCUUUGACGGGUAGCCGGCCUGAGAGGGUGACCGGCCACAUUGGGACUGAGGUACGGCCCAGACUCCUACGGGAGGCAGCAGUGGGGAAUAUUGCACAAUGGGCGGAAGCCUGAUGCAGCAGCGCCGCGUGCGGGAUGACGGCCUUCGGGUGGUAAACCGCUUUCGCCUGUGACGAAGCGUGAGUGACGGUAAUGGGUAAAGAAGCACCGGCUAACUACGUG
rnacentral:rRNA from 1 species